rnacentral:rRNA from 1 species
GAUGAACGCUAGCUACAGGCUUAACACAUGCAAGUCGAGGGGAAACGACAUCGAAAGCUUGCUUUUGAUGGGCGUCGACCGGCGCACGGGUGAGUAACGCGUAUCCAACCUGCCCAUCACUUGGGAAUAACCUUGCGAAAGUAAGACUAAUACCCAAUGACAUCCCACGAAGGCAUCUGAAUGGGAUUAAAGAUUUAUCGGUGAUGGAUGGGGAUGCGUCUGAUUAGCUUGUUGGCGGGGUAACGGCCCACCAAGGCAACGAUCAGUAGGGGUUCUGAGAGGAAGGUCCCCCACAUUGGAACUGAGACACGGUCCAAACUCCUACGGGAGGCAGCAGUGAGGAAUAUUGGUCAAUGGGCGAGAGCCUGAACCAGCCAAGUAGCGUGCAGGAUGACGGCCCUAUGGGUUGUAAACUGCUUUUAUAAGGGAAUAAAGUGGGUCUCGUGAGACUUUUUGCAUGUACCUUAUGAAUAAGGACCGGCUAAUUCCGUG